rnacentral:rRNA from 1 species
ACGGGUGAGUAACGCGUGGGAACGUGCCCUUCGGUUCGGAAUAACUCAGGGAAACUUGAGCUAAUACCGGAUACGCCCUUAUGGGGAAAGGUUUACUGCCGAAGGAUCGGCCCGCGUCUGAUUAGCUAGUUGGUGAGGUUAUGGCUCACCAAGGCGACGAUCAGUAGCUGGUCUGAGAGGAUGAUCAGCCACACUGGGACUGAGACACGGCCCAGACUCCUACGGGAGGCAGCAGUGGGGAAUAUUGGACAAUGGGGGCAACCCUGAUCCAGCCAUGCCGCGUGAGUGAUGACGGCCUUAGGGUUGUAAAGCUCUUUUCUCCGGGACGAUAAUGACGGUACCGGAGGAAUAAGCCCCGGCUAACUUCGUGCCAGCAGCCGCGGUAAUACGAAGGGGGCUAGCGUUGCUCGGAAUCACUGGGCGUAAAGGGCGCGUAGGCGGCUGAUUUAGUCGAGGGUGAAAGCCCGUGGCUCAACCACGGAAUGGCCUUCGAUACUGAUUGGCUUGAGACCGGAAGAGGACAGCGGAACUGCGAGUGUAGAGGUGAAAUUCGUAGA